CCUGUCUCCCAACCUUCCCGACGCGCUACCGAACCAGGGCGGGGCUCGGAGCGGCGGCCGGCCAGAGGGACCUAUCCGAGCUUCCGCUGGCUCGGCGUGGACGUCCCCCCGCGGGUCACGUGGAGCCGCAGCUGAAGAUGGAUAUGCCUGCUUCACAGAACAGUUGGGAGGAUUACCUGUGAUGAGCGAUGCCAAGUGCCAGCCUGCCGUGUUGUAGUGUGGAGUAGGGUUUGGUCUGCAAAUGGAGAGCUGCUCUAAGAAUGCCCUUUCCAGAGAAAGUCCUCACCUCUGCCCUCUGUGACGACUCAAAAGCCACUACCCGAUUCCACGAUUUCUGCAGACAAAGCCAUGCUGGGGGGGACAGUGGUGGGACUCUGGAGCAAGACCACCUGGGGCUGAUCCCUGCUUUUACUUUAGUCGGCCUUUGAACAACAAGGGUUUGAACUGCAUGCAUCCAGUUACGUGUGGAUUUUUUCUUCAACAAAAGUUACACUAAGUUUGCCUGCCUCUCCUGCGUCCCCUUCCACUUCUGCUACCCCUGAAACAACAAGAUCAGCCCUUCUUCCUCCACCUCCUCCUCUUCCUCACCUACUCAAUAUGGAGACAAGGACGAAGACCUUUAUAAUGAUUCACUUCAACUCAGUUAAGAGUAAGUGUAUAUCCUUUUAUGAUUUUCUUUUUCUUUUCUUUUUUUUUGAGACAGAGUCUGGCUGUGUCACCCACACUGGAGUGCAGUGGUACUGUCAUAGCUCACUGCAGCCCUGAACUGCUUACCUCAAGUGAUCCUCCUGCCCCAGCCUCUGGAGUAGCUCGGAUUUCAGGUGUGCACUACCAUGUCUGGCUAAUUUUUAAUUUUUUUGUGGAGAUGGAGUCUCACUAUGUUGCUUAGGCUGGUCUCAAACUUCUGGGCUCAAGCACUUCUCCCACUUCAGCCUCCCAAAGUGCUAGGAUUACAGGUGUGAGCCACUGUACUCAGCCAUGAUUUUCUUUUCUUUUUUUUUUUUUGAGAUGGAGUCCCACUCUGUUGCCCAGGCUGGAGUGCAGUGGCGUGAUCUUGGCUCACUGCAACCUCCAGCUCCCAGGUUCAAGCAAUUCUUCUGCCUCAGCCUCCCGAGUAGCUGGGAUUAUAGACAUCUGCCAUCAGGCCCAGCUAAUUUUUAUAUUUUUAGUAGAGACAGCGUUUCAUCGUGUUGGUCAGGCUGGUGUCAGACUCCUGACCUCAUAAUCUCCUUGCCUUGGCUUCCCAAAGUGCUGCAAUUACAGGCAUGAGCCACCGUGCCCGGCCAGUGAUUUUCUUAAUAACAUUUUCUUUUCUUUGGCUUACUUUGUUGUAAGAAUGCAGUAUUUAGGCUGGACGCAGUGGCUCAUGCCUGUAAUCCCAGCAUUUUGGGAGGCCAAGGUGGGUGGAUCAUGAGGUCAGGAGUUCAAGACCAGCCUGGCCAACAUAGUGAAACCCCAUCUCUACUAAAAAUACAAAAAUUAGCUGAGUAUGGUGGCAUGUGCCUGUAAUCCCAGCUACUCGGGAGGCUGAGGCAGGAGAAUCGCUUGAACCCAGGAAGCAGAGGUUGCAGUAAGCGAGGCCACGCCAUUACACUCCAGUCUGAGUGACAGAGUGAGAUUCUGUCUCAAAAAAUAAAAAUAAUAUAGUAUAUAAUACAUAUAGCAUACAAAAUAUUUGUUCAUCAAAUGUUAUUUGUAAGGCUUCCAGUCAACAGUAGGCUAUUAGUGGUUAAGCUUUUGAGGAGUCAGAAAUUACAGGUUGGGUGCGGUGGCUCACACCUGUAAUCCCAGCACUUUGGGAGGCCACGGCAGGUGGAUCACGAGGUCAGGAGAUCAAGACCGUCCUAGCUAAUAUGGUGAAACCCUGUCUCUACUAAAAAUACAAAAAAAUUGGCUGGGUGUGGUGGCGUGUGCCUGUAAUCCCAGCUACUCAGGAGGCUGAGGCAGGAGAAUUGCUUGAACCUGGGAGGCAGAGGUUGCAGUGAGCUGAGAACGUGCCACUGCACUCCAGCCUGGCGACAGAGCAAGACUGUGUCUCAAAAAAAAAAAAAAAAAUUAUAUGCAGAUUUUCUACUGCAUGGGGGCAGUAUCGCUAAUCCCCACGGUAUUUAAGGUUAACUGUAUUUCCUUCGAGCUUGGGCAAAUGAGUGACCCUCUCUGUGCCUGAGUGUCCAAAGUGAAGGAAUCCAUCUGGCACAGUGCCAGAAUACCACCUGGCUGAUACCAUGUGCACAGUUCAAGUUAACUCUACUGUAUUUCCUGCUUGGGUUGUUCUGGGGAUACCUCAUUUCUCCCUACCGGCCACUUCCUCAAGAAUAGGGGGUGUGGGGGUCCUUACAGACAAGGAGAUGACAGCAUCACUCUUCUUCAUGACCGUCAGGGCUCUGCAGGCACUUGCCCUUCGGGUCCCUCCAGCCUCACCCCGACUCCUCUCCCCCUUGCUUGCUUUCUGCAGCCAUAGCGGCCUCUUAUUCCUCAGACCCAUUUUGUCUUUCCUACCCCAGGAAGGGCCUUUGCAGGUGCUGUCCCCAUAGCCUGAAAGUUCCUCGGAUAGCUGGCUUUUCCUCACCCUCCAGGCCUCCAGGCCUCAGUUCAAAUGCCUCUCCCUGGGAGAGGCUAAUCCUGACCCCCCCCACCUUGGCCCACCUACACACAGCUGAUUGUCUCUCCCCACUGGAAUGCAAACACCAGGGGUAAGAAUAGGGUCGGUUUCCUUCAUCCAGGGCUCCCCAAGCAUAGCAAACACUCUGGAAGCACAUGAUGAAUGUCUGGGUGAUCAAGAGCUACUGCCUGGGACAGUUUCAGAGCCCAGGGAGCCCCAAGGGUAGUCACGAGCCUGGUGUCAGGAGGAACAGGGUUUGAAUACUGCAACAACUGUAUGGCCUUCCCUCUCCCAGCCUCAGUGUCCUCAUUCAGAGUGCAUGGAUAAUUAUAUCUCCCUUGCAGAGCCAUUGCAUAGAUAGUGAUGUAGGAGCAUGCAACAUAGUCCUGGCACACACUCAGGAGAAGGUGGCUGUCAAGUCAAGAGCGCAUCCUGUAGCAGCCUAGCCACCUGGAAGGGCCACUCCUCAACACUGCCGUCAACGCCUGGCACUUGGUGAGAAUGAAUUUCUCACAUUUCUCUGAAGGGGUAGGGUGGAGGCAAGUAGAGAAGAAGACUCUGGACUCCUAGGGUAGGAUGGAAGAAAAGAGAGGCUGGCCCAUGUACUGGCCGUGAGGGUAGCCAGUGUCUCUGAGUUCAUUUUCUCACCAGAAGGACAGGAGGAAUGUACCAUUUAGAAGGACGUGGUGAGGAGCCGGGCGUGGGGGCUUACAACUGUAAUCCCAGCACUUUGUGAGGCUGAGGUGGGCAAAUGAUCUGACGUCAGGAGUUUAAGACCAGCCUGGCCAACAUGGCGAAACCCCAUCUCUACUAAAAAAUACAAAAAUUAAAUGGGAGUGGUGGUGGGUACCUGUAAUCCCAGCUACUCAAGAGGCUGAGGCAAAAGAAUUGCUUCAACCCAGGAAACGGAGGUUGCAGUGAGCCAGCAUGGUGCCACUGUAUUCCAGCUUGGGCAACAGAGUAAGACUCGGUCUCAAAAAAAUAAACAAAAGGAGGUAAUGAGGAUUGAAUGAGCUAGCAUGUCCAGCACAUAGAAGGCCCCUUCCCCAUCCUCUUUCCUGAAAGCAAACUCCUCAAUUUCUCAGUUUUGCUCUGGUUCCCAGGCUGUGCAUGGAGGUAAACACGGCCCUUACUCAAGCCAAGCUCAGGAGAGCCCAGGCUGCACCGAGUCCACCCUCUUGGCUCAUUUCCCUCAAUCCACCAAGAUGGUGACACCAAGGCCCCUCCUCCUGCCCCAGCAAGUCCUGCCGAGAUCCUGCCUGUUAUCAGGAAAAUGGGCUGUGCAGGACAGAUGGCACCAUGCCUCUAGGAGCCUCGGCACGUGUUUCCAAGGAGACAGCUGUGUGUGUGUGUGUGUGUGUGUGUGUGUGUUUACACACCAACUUAUAACAUCCAGUUCUUGAAAGGAAGCUGGAAAGAAGGGAAUGAGGGUCAGAUUGCAAAUGGGAUGUAGGUGGAAGGCGCAUGAUGCUAGGCCACAUUGCUGUUUGCCUUUCACAGAAAAAAUCAGCAUGACAGCUCACAGUUUGCAGACGCUUUCACAUGGGAUAACUCACUUAAUCCUGGCAACGAGCUCAUGACACAGAUAUUCUUUCUGCUCUUUACAGUCUGGAGUUGGAGAAAGAGGAGGGCAAGUCCCAACCAGUAGGUUGUAGAAUUAGGAUUCGUGUCCUGACUCUGAUUGUAAGCCCCCUCCUCUCCUACCAGAGCCAUGCUGCCUUGCCCAGAAAGGAUUCUAGAUCAGGAGUGCCCCUAGGUGGGGAUGUUGCCUGCCCAGCCCAAAGCAAAGGCCUUGUUCAGGGUUCACAACUCCCUGAAAGGGAGGCCUGAGUGACCAGAGAUGGCAGGAAGAUGGGAGUGGGUGUCUCUAAGCACAGCCAAGGCCCCAUGGAGGAGGGAAGGAUAGCGUAUAAAAUGCUAAUAGUAUGAUUUAGAGACACGGGGUCUUUCCAGAAGCUGGUAGAGAAAGACAUGAGAGCUGGAGUGAGCAGUCUGGAACAGAAUCAACUCUUGGAAGCAGAUCCUUGGGAGAUAGGGUGGGAUUGAAGACAGGAAGAGUGGUUUUCAAGAUUUAGGGCCCAAGGACAUAGAGGGGAAAUUGAGUCAGGGCUUGAGCUACAGACCCACCCUUUUGCUGGAAAUGGAUUUCUUUGCCAAAAGGGAAGUUGUUUGAACUCGUGGCCCCGAGUGAAGGCCACCAAGAGGCCAUUGUCGCUGGAAGCCAAGGGAGCCUGGGAGCUGAUCAGCUCUCGUGGAGAAAGUCUGUUUAUCCAGGGAUAAGAAAGAGGCAAGGUCUACACAGGCUGGGCUGGGAGGCCCAGGGGCAGCACAAGGCAGAGGGGCCCCAAGUCCAGGUUUCAGGGGGUGUCAUUGAAUUAGAAAGCAAAAUGAGGCCGGGCGCGGUGCUCACGCCUGUAAUCCCAGCACUUUUGGGGGCUCAGGCAGGUGGAUCACUGGAGGUCAGGAGUUCGAGAAUAGCCCGGCCCACAUGGUGAAACCCGUCUCUACUAAAAAUAGAAACAUGAGCUGGGCGUGGUGGUGGGCGCCUGUAAUCCCAGCUACCCAGGAGGCUGAGGCAGGAGAAUUGCUUGAACCCGACAGGUGGAGGUUGCAGUGAGCUGAGAUUGUACCAUUGCACUCCAGCCUGGGCAACGGUGAGACACUGUCUCAAAAAAAAAAACCGAAAAGAAAAUAAUUGGAGUGAGAGGCUGUGUGGAGAGCAGAGUGUGGGGAGAGCACACCUGGAGUUUCUCACACUCCAUGUGACUUUCCUCUAUAGUUGCCUCCCACUGGGGGCGAGAUAUGCUCUGCAUGUGACCUAAACGUGUGCUGAAGCACAACCAUUGGACAGGAGAAAAGAGAAAAUGGGUAGUUUGUAAACAGUCCUCCAAAGACGUAACUGCCCCUUCCACUGGACGGGAGCAGCAGAAAGUUCACCAAAGCAAGGGCACGUGGGCCUGAGAGCAUCCCCGUUUUCUGGAGCACCUGGCCUCUAGUUUUUCUCCCAUUCAAACCCCAAGUCAGAAUAGUGGGAGAGGGAGAGAAGCCGCUUCAACAACAAUUUCAGUACAUGGUCCCUGAUCGCAAGUAACUCCAUAGCAGUUCUCUGUGUCUUUUCACCGAGGUCUAUUGCUUUUCAGGUAGACAUUUCUGUUUAUAAAUGGUCUGGAGAUUCGGGCAGCUUUGGGAAACUGAUUGCAGAUGAGGGGCAGUCACGUGCUGCAGUCAUUGUGACUCCUGUGGCUCUUCAACCCUCUUCCCUCCAUUUUGCCUAGCAGUGGGCUGCAGGCAUCUGUCAGUUCCACAGGACCUCAUGCUUCUCACCCUCAGAUGCCACAUGAAGUGACAGGAGGUGACCCAAGACUGGCCUACACCCCUUGGACCUGCCCAGCCAUGCUGGACUAACUAAUCCUCAGCCAUGGUUUCCCAGUGCUUGGCAAAGCUCUGCCUGAAAUCCUGGGCGGUCCCCUAUGUGCCCGGCCCUGACUUCACUCACCCACAGUGAGGGAGGGGGACUUUUUGGCUAUUGGAGGGCUCUGCAGACCGGCUGGGAGCCAGAGACCAGCAGCUGCUGCCACACUUCAAAAGCUUUGUUAUCCUCAUCUGAGGAGCAGUGCCCCGAGUCACCCCAAGAACUCUUCCUGCCCUGCUGGCAGCCACGCACUGCAUGUGCAUGCUAGGGGGCAUCCUGGGACACCUGGUGGGAGCAAGGAGGGAUUGUGCCAUCCUUCCUGGGUUCCUGGACCAAGGAGCCUACCCUCUACCUUAGCUUUUGGAAAGCUCUGCCCAUCCAUACAGGCCGCUCAGAGAUGCCAAAAACUCAGCUGUGGCUUGUUUGUGGGUGUGGACUCCAACUGGGGGCAGAUCCCUCUGGCCGAGUUGCAGAGGGCUUCCCUGAGGGGGGAGCUUGUCCUGGUGAGCAACUGGUGUCCCCCAUACUAGGAGGCCACAGGAGCGCCCUCUGUGACACUCAUCUCAGAGGGUGGCCUGGACUGUCCCAGCAUUUGACAGCAUGGGGUGUGGUCUGAGGGGCCUGAGCCCAGAGCUGCAUGUGGGAGAGCUUGGGAGCCCCCGUCCUGUGCUCCUGGAACCCCCUUCCCCGUUCAGGCAAUGUUUCCUGAGGAACAGAACCUGCUGCCCCUCCUUUCCUGGCUCAGCACAAGCAAACCCACACCCAGUUCCCGAGGGGUGCAGGGAGGCCGGGGGCUGUGGGGUCUCUCCUGGCCCCAGUUUGGGAGUGGGCUAAGAGCUUCCUGUGGAAGUAAGUCCUGCAGGGACAACCAGGGCCACCUGGUGAUGCUGGGUAGCAGGUGCUGGCAAAGUAGGAUGAGGGGAGGCCUGAGAAAGGUCCCCUGAGAAGACAUGCCAGGUACCCAAGUCAGACUCAGGCAGCAGAGGCCAGCUGGGCCCCUCUAAAGGCAAGGAGGGGUUGGAGCCCUGGGAACCUAAAGGUGACUCCUGAUGUCUGGGAACAGAAGGGAUUUGGAGAGAGAUUUAUUAGUAUUCUCACCCAAACUAACCCAGCUGUGGGAUUCCCAGGCAGGACUUGGGAGACACCUGGUGCUGGCCACCAGGUCUACCCCUUGGUCCAUGCCCUCCUCCCUCUUCCCUCACACGUGUUUUGCCUGUGGUAUCCUAGGAACGCAGGGCUUCGAGCCUUGUGGUCCUGUUACAUAACAGCUUCCAUCCCAUCCAUGAGUUCAGCCCUCCGGCAAGCGGGAGCUGCAGCAGGCGCACCAAGGAAAGCCUCUGCUCCAGACCCAGGCUCCUGCUGCCCAAAUGCACAGUCCCUGCCACUCCUCUGCCACCCCCAGCAUACAAGGGAAGGGAGCUUCAUAAGCAGUCAGCAUCCAGCUGGAUUCUUUCAACAGGGCCCCUGUCCUGUCCUGGUCCCACAUGAGCAUGGCACCUGUCAGUGGUCACACACUGGCCAUGGCUUCCCCAAAUCCAGCAGGCCUAGGAGACAGGCCCAGGGCCGGUGUGAAACAUGACUCCUCAAACCCCUCUCCGCACUCUGCACCCCGAGACCAAGGGCACACCAUUACUGGGACCCUCCCUGGCUUGGAGAUGCCUGUCCUGCCACUGUGCCUGUGGCUGCCCCCUCGCCCCCCUUGGGCACCUGCGCAGGUCACCUGCGCUCUUACCUGUUCUCUUCUCUGGCCAAGGCAGAGAGUGCUCCAGCAGGGACUUGAGGACCUCAGGCAUGUCCAUGGCAGGGGCCACUCGGAACCAGUGGCAGCUCACACAGCCCAGCAGGAGGUGCUUGCUCCAGGGAGUUCAGAAGCAGCUGGAGAGGCAGGGGCCGGCCAAAGCCGCAGGCUAGGCAGGCAGGCGGGGUGGGAGCCUUGAGGCAGCCAAUGGCCAGCACCAGUCCCGGCCCGCCCGUCCACCCCCGGCUCGGCCACCUGCCAGCUCCGGCUGCAGCCAGGCCUUCCCUUCCCGCUGCUUGGCAGGGCGGGCCUGGCCCUGCGCCAGCUGUAGCACGUGGAGCUGUCGCGCCAAUCCUCUGACAGAGAGCCCAGCCUGUUAUUUAACUUUGGAAAGGGAAGUUCUCCCCCAGGCUGGGAGCCAUAACCGGGGCUGCCAGGUGAGAACAGUAAGUUCUACGCCCACAGCAAGCAUGCAUUGGCAUGGAGGAGCCCUGGAGGCCCAGGUGUGCAGUGGAAACCAUCCCAGGCUGGGACCUCAGGCUCUGAGAAAAAAGGAGGACGACAGGCAAGGACAGCACCUCGGACAGCCCAGCACAAGAUCCCCUGUGCUGGCAGAUGCUGGGACACGGGUGGGCAGCAUGCCUUCACCUGUAAGCUUGUGAGCCUCAAGGGCUAGUGGCAUGUUUUGAUGCUGUGUUUAUGCCAUGCACACGUACCCUACAAGGCAUGCCAGCAUACAUGUGGCAUGCAUAAUUGGGGCUUUAUACCAUCUGCACAGCCUGAAGCCUGUUCCCCAAAAGGAAGUGACAAAACCUGCCCUCUGAGGUUCUUUGGUCUUCAGAGGAGAGGGAGAAGGGGCAGGGGCCUAGCAGAGAAGUGCCAGGAAACCAGGCACCACCAAAAGGGGAGCAGCUCUGCCAGCCUGGUUUAGGCUUGUCCUGGAUGAGGAAUCCCUGCUUCCCAGUCAUUGUGGGGACCUAAGGUGCCAACUGGCUAUUUGCUGUAGUCCCCUCUCAUACCCUCCCACCAGGAUGCUGGCCCCUAUGGUCCUCUGGUUACUUGAAUGUGUGGGCGAAGCCGUGGUUCUGGGUGUUACCAUCCUCCUCAGACCAACAUCAGAGCAAAGCCAGACUUGCCAGGGGAUGUCAGGUUCUCGAUGCUGCUGUACAUUGCUGUGGGAUUUUGAGAAAGCUUGGCAGCAGCUAUGGGUCUCAAUUCCAGAACCACCAAAUGCAGUGACCUCUGAGGUGCCUUUCAGCUCUAGUUCUAUGGCUCUGAAGCUCCCGGUGGGCAGCAAUAAACAUUCGGUUUUCUG